rnacentral:tRNA from 1 species
UCGGGCUGGGCCGGGUCGGCCUCGCCCUGGCCGAGCGGGCGAGAGCCCUGGGCAUGACCGUCCUGGGUCACUCCAGGGGCCCGGCC